CUCUCUCUCUCUCUCACCGUCACUCCUAAAACUUCCCCCUUUUCCUAAACAACCAAAUGUCAUGUUGCCAUAUCAUUUUUUGAUUGGUCGACAUGGUGCAUUUUUCCACCAACACGAAAGGGCAGUUUUUGUCAGGGUCCCUGUGCCUACCCGGUCGGCUCAGCAUGGCUACAUAUGUUUUUAUUUUCAUUUUUGUUCCUGCUCUCUCCCUUCCUCUCUUUCCCUCCUCCCUCGGCCUGGGCGGAGCUCACCUGUGGGCUCCUGCCCCUGCCCCACGCACCUGUGGCUCAUCACGAGAGUGUUCCAGCUCCUUUAUAAGAUGGCAGCUCUGUGUCUCUCGUCGCUGGACCGUUGCCGACCCUCAUUCCCUGGACCCACCCCUGUGUUUUCUGAAGUGAUCGAGUGUGCGUAAGCCAUCGUGCUUUCUGUGGAGUGUGAAGAGGAGCGUGUGGAGUGGACGGAGUGUGUGCGUGGACUUUCAGCGUCUUUCCCUUUCGUGUGUGGAUCCCCGGAGUCUGGCCUUCCCCUCACCUUUGUAAAUAGAUCACCUGGUGAACUGUGAUAAAGACUUUUUGUGUUUUCGAGACUUAGGGCCUGCGCGUGAGUCUGUUCUGUCCCGCUGUGACAGUUUUUUGUUUUGUUUUUAAAAUUUUUUGGUCAUAAUCAGAGAGUGCUUGCUAGCACUGCCCUUAGACAGUAAAUGUGAUGAAACUAUUGAGGAAAAAAACACAUGCGUAUAUAUUGUUUAUCAUUACUCUGGUUUUACGUGGCCUGUCAACACAAUUUAAAAACUGGUAUAUAUCACCUUGUUGCUUUGUCAUCUUGAAGUAGUCGUGUGAUUGGCUUACCAUGAGUAUUUGAUUCUUCCUCAGUCAAACAGCAGCAUUCAUGUGAUUGUUUUGCCCCCUUAGCUCCAGGUCUUGUGCCAAAAAGUGAUCGUCUGCCAGAGCGUAAUUGCCGUCUGCAACUCUAAAGACACAUAGUCAUCCUAGUGUAUAGCAGCAGUUAACAUUAUAGUGUCAUUUUUACAUCUGACUACAGAGGUUGGUGUCAGAGUAACAUCUUACCUGCAAACAUGAAGGUGUUGACCUCAGCCUCUAUCUCCUCAUCUUUUUGGCCUUUUCAUCUUAAUACUUCAACACAGACAUUUUGUAAUGAUGUCAAUCAGUAACAA